rnacentral:Y_RNA from 1 species
AGCUGGUGAGUGCAGUGGAAGUUACAAUUAACUGAUUACAAUCAGUUCCAAAUGUCUUUGUUCAUUCCCCACUCCCUCUGCUUCACUUGACUAGUUAAAA